GCAAACUUGGUCAUUUAGAGGAAGUAAAAGUCGUAACAAGGUUUCCGUAGGUGAACCUGCGGAAGGAUCAUUACCGAGUGCGGGCCCUCGCGGCCCAACCUCCCACCCUUGUCUCUAUACACCUGUUGCUUUGGCGGGCCCACCGGGGCCACCUGGUCGCCGGGGGACGUCGUCUCCGGGCCCGCGCCCGCCGAAGCGCUCUGUGAACCCUGAUGAAGAUGGGCUGUCUGAGUACUAUGAAAAUUGUCAAAACUUUCAACAAUGGAUCUCUUGGUUCCGGCAUCGAUGAAGAACGCAGC
rnacentral:misc_RNA from 1 species